ACCCGACUCAGCGAGCCACCCAGGCGCCCCCUCUUGCCAACAUUUUUAAGAAGACGGGGAGCAAGGUUCCCCGGCCACACUUCUGCGAUCCUGAGUUUUGGGGUGUCCUGGAACUCUGGGUUGGCCUGAGUGUCUCCAUCUCUCAGUGUCUCUGAGGCCCUGUCUCUACGUGGAUGUCUCUCAUCCCGGGAUGCUGAAGUUUGAAAAGCCUCCACCCCCACCUCCAGCCUUGAGAGAGGGAAGGAAUUGGAAGGGCGUGGAUGGGAUAAGGACUCGGUGUUCGGAGACCCAAGCGCUCCACCGUGCCCACUAAGCGUUCCCGUUGGAAACAGGGGACAGAGGUGGUCAUAAGGGUCCCAUCCUCUUGCAAGGCCAGCAAUCAUCUCGGUUCCUGGGGACUUUCUGUCGAACCGCCUGGACUAUAAAAGACAAACCAGAGGCUUCUCCAAGUGGGGCCGGGCUUCAGAAAGCCCUUCUGCAAGGAGCCAAAUAUUUCAGAUGGCUAAGGGAGUGGCCUGGCCUCAGUCUGCUCAACUAAAUCACCAGUUCCAAGACAGCAGGGAAUAAUAAAGAUAAAAAUAAUAUAAUAACA
rnacentral:lncRNA from 1 species